GCAGGCGCGGUGGCACACGCAUAGUCCCAGCUAUUCGGAGGCUGAGGCUGGAGGGUCGCGUGAGCCCAGGAGAUCUGGGCUGUCGUGCGCUGUGCCGAUCGGGUGUCCGCACUAUGUUCGGCAUCAAUAUGGUGACCUCCCGGGAGCGGGGGACCACCAGGUUGCCUAAGGAGGGGUGAACCGGCCCAGGUUGGAAAUGGAGCAGGUCAAAACUCCUAUCCUGGUCAGUAGCGGGAUUGCGCCUGUGAAUAGCCACUGCACUCCAGCCUGGGCAACAUAGUGAGACCCUCGCUCUA
ensembl:misc_RNA Metazoa_SRP Metazoan signal recognition particle RNA